CAAUAAAGUAGAGGCGCACCGUUUAUCAGUAGUCCGGAGCAGGGUGACUCCGAAUGUCCUGGGUUGAUCAGGGCGGCAAAUCGGAUGAAAGGAAAAGGUGCCGAAGCAGAGAGUUCGUCAAACUCAUUUGCUGGUGCUGCAUCGAAGAGGUGUAUCACUGUCACAGUUUUUACUGUGGAGCGCUACUGGACAA
rnacentral:ncRNA from 1 species